CUGUGGUUGCGGCGGGAGCGGCCGGACUGCUUCGUCGGCGGCUCCUACACACCGCUGUUCGGCAGCGGCGACCGCAGC
rnacentral:tRNA from 1 species